rfam:Beta vulgaris subsp. vulgaris Bvchr3.sca003.con0067.1, whole genome shotgun sequence.
AAGUAAAGAGUAUGUCAAGAUAGCCAAGGAGACUGCCUGACUAGCCUUUUUGAAAGCUCUAAUCAGCCAAAACACAUACAAAUAACUUUCACAAAAAAGAAGCAGGCAAGUCAUCCUUGGCUACUAAACCAUGACUCUUACCC